rnacentral:rRNA from 1 species
UACGUAGGGUGCGAGCGUUGUCCGGAAUUAUUGGGCGUAAAGAGCUUGUAGGCGGUUUGUCGCGUCUGCUGUGAAAUUUCGGGGCUCAACCCCGAACUUGCAGUGGGUACGGGCAGACUAGAGUGUGGUAGGGGAGACUGGAAUUCCUGGUGUAGUGGUGGAAUGCGUAGAUAUCGGGAGGAACAUCAGUGGCGAAAGCGGCACCCUGGCAUUAGCCUGACGCUCAUGUGCGAAAGCGUGGGGAGCGAACGGG